GUACUCAGCCGCAGCCACGUUAACGAUAUUCGAGUGCCUCAACUACGUUCCCUCAGUGGUAUUGGGAGACAAAAAUAUUUUGCCAUGGCAGUCUUCGGAAUUCACUCAAGUAUUAUCUCAUGGAAGUCUACCUAACUCCUAAGAGAUAUUUCAUCUCACGACUUAAACAAGUACUCUCAAGGUGGAUCGUCAAGAUCAUGAAUAGUGAGAAGUUCUCUUGAUGUAGUCAUUCUGUUAAGUGGACAAUAAAAUAAAGUUCCUUUAAAAUGUAAUUGCUCUGUAUUUUCAGGUAGAAUGACUAGUAGAAGUGGGCAUUCCAUUUGGUUAUUCCGUUUGAUUUUGUCAAAGUUUCAAUCAAUGUUGAGAUAAUAAAUAAACCUAGUUUAAUUGAAUUUUUUUUAACUAUUCGAUCCUUUCUCAGUUUCUUCGUUCUUGGGUAUCAAUUUAAUUUGAAGGCGUGGUGGGUCUCAAUAG